rnacentral:tRNA from 1 species
ACAGUGGUAGUUCAAUGGUAGAAUUCCCACCUUCCAAGCAGUAGACCCAGGCUCAGUUCCUGGCUGAUGUA